GUCGAGGGGCAGCGGGAGUGCUUGCACUUGCCGGCGACCGGCGCGCGGGUGCGGAACGCGUAUCGAAUCUGCCUCUAUCUGGGGGAUACCCCAUGGAAACGUGGAAUAAUACCCCAUAGUAUUACUUUAUCGCAUGAUUUAGUAAUUAAAGAAUUUCGGAUAGAGAUGACGAUGCGUAUCAUUAGCUAGUAGGUAAGGUAACGGCUUACCUAGGCAACGAUGAUUAGGGGUCCUGAGAGGGAGAUCCCCCACACUGGUACUGAGACACGGACCAGACUCCUACGGGAGGCAGCAGUGAGGAAUAUUGGACAAUGGUCGAAAGACUGAUCCAGCCAUGCCGCGUGCAGGAUGACUGCCCUAUGGGUUGUAAACUGCUUUUAUACGGGAAGAAAAACACCUACGUGUAGGUGACUGACGGUACCGUAAGAAUAAGGACCGGCUAACUCCGUGCCAGCAGCCGCGGUAAUACGGAGGGUCCAAGCGUUAUCCGGAAUCAUUGGGUUUAAAGGGUCCGUAGGCGGGCUAUUAAGUCAGAGGUGAAAGUUUGCAGCUCAACUGUAAAAUUGCCUUUGAUACUGAUAGUCUUGAAUUGUAGUGA
rnacentral:rRNA from 1 species